rnacentral:tRNA from 1 species
GUCUUAAUAGUGAAAUUUCAUUUGUAGUUUCGGCCUACAAGAUAACAAGAAUGUUUUAAGACU